GAGGAUUCGCUUUCACGAGGACUAAUUCAGCUGACGUUUCACAGUGAUUUUGGUUAAGGGUGCCUCUAAGUCGGGCUGGCGACUUUAAAACUAGCGCUUGGUGGGAGGCAACCCACUGUUGGUUUAGUUUUUUUUGUUUUUGUUUUUCUUGUUCUUUGUUUUCCAUUUUUGUUUUGUGUUUUCCUAAGUUUUGGUUGCUUGUGCGGAUACUUUGAUUUUUGGGUGUUAAUGACUUUGUUUUCAGCGCUGCAAUUUUUGCUCUGACCUUGCUGCCAGCGCUGAAGACUGCCAGCGCUGCCCAGUCCAGCGCUGUCGUUUUUACUCUGCAAAAGGCCGCAAACCUCACUUUUCGCCGCCUCUCACGAUGUUUCAGCUUUUCAAUGCCGA
rnacentral:lncRNA from 1 species